rnacentral:rRNA from 1 species
UGGGGAAUAUUGGACAAUGGGCGGAAGCCUGAUCCAGCCAUGCCGCGUGUGUGAAGAAGGCCUUUCGGUUGUAAAGCACUUUAAGCGAGGAGGAGGCUACUUGGAUUAAUACUCUAGGAUAGUGGACGUUACUCGCAGAAUAAGCACCGGCUAACUCUGUGCCAGCAGCCGCGGUAAUACAGAGGGUGCGAGCGUUAAUCGGAUUUACUGGGCGUAAAGCGUGCGUAGGCGGCUUCUUAAGUCGGAUGUGAAAUCCCUGAGCUUAACUUAGGAAUUGCAUUCGAUACUGGGAAGCUAGAGUAUGGGAGAGGAUGGUAGAAUUCCAGGUGUAGCGGUGAAAUGCGUAGAGAUCUGGAGGAAUACCGAUGGCGAAGGCAGCCAUCUGGCCUAAUACUGACGCUGAGGUACGAAAGCAUGGGGAGCAAACAGG